UACGAAGGGGGCUAGCGUUGCUCGGAAUCACUGGGCGUAAAGGGUGCGUAGGCGGGUCUUUAAGUCAGGGGUGAAAUCCUGGAGCUCAACUCCAGAACUGCCUUUGAUACUGAGGAUCUUGAGUUCGGGAGAGGUGAGUGGAACUGCGAGUGUAGAGGUGAAAUUCGUAGAUAUUCGCAAGAACACCAGUGGCGAAGGCGGCGCACUGGCCCGAUACUGACGCUGAGGCACGAAAGCGUGGGGAGCAAACAGG
rnacentral:rRNA from 1 species